CUACUAAGUAUCAAAAAUAUCACAUAAUAAGGAACAAAUUCACAAAAUAUAAACUUUUUAUUUCAUUAAAUUGAUCAACAAACAAAGUUUUUAGGUUAUGUUUUCACUGUUAUUUAAAAAAACUACAUUAGUUACAUAAACUACACAUUUACUACUCGACAUUUAAGAAACUACUUGUGACAUGUAGUAAAUGUUGUUUAUUAAUUACUACGUGUAGUUUAACAACUCUGCAUUCCAUACGCAAGACCCAGUUAUAUAUCUCUGGCACGACCCAAGUCAAAUCAAUUUAUCAGUAAUCUGUAGGCUGACGUUUUGACAAUCUUGACAACGUUUUGACGUACAUGGUUUUGACGUGGAAAUUUGUUAUUUGUAGAAGAGGUUAACAGGCGUUUUGUAGAAAUACAAUUAUUUAAAGGAAGAUUAACAGUUAAAUAUCAAAUAAAAUAAUGGCGGACUCAGCAAAAUUAAUAAGAUAUAUUUCACCAGUAAACCCGGCAGUUUUUCCCCAUUUAACGCUUGUUCUUUUGGGCAUUGGUAUCUUUUUUACCGCUUGGUUUUUUGUCUACGAAGUAACAAGUACUAAACAAACAAGGAGUAUUAAAAAGGAAAUUGCUACAGCGUUAGUAGCAUCUAUAUUUUCAGGUUUUGGGAUUGUAUUUUUACUGCUGACUGUUGGCAUUUAUGUGUGAUAGAUUAUUAUUUGUUUUAAGCUAUUUUAAUUUAUAUAAAUAUCUUGUACUAUGCAAUUUAUAUCUACAACAUUCAAUUAGAUAUUAAGACUCUUGUAGGAACAUUUAUUUCAAUUAAUAAAGUUUUUCUGUUAUG